rnacentral:rRNA from 1 species
GGCACCUACGGGCCGGGGGCCGCGUGAAAACGAGGGGUGGUGGGGUUGGUCGGAGUCAUGGGGCGGAAAGGGCGCGUAGGCGGGUUGGCAAGGCAGGUGGGAAAGCUCCGGGCUCAACUCGGAGAGGGCACCUGAGACUGCUAUGAUGAGAGGCCGGUAGGGGACCAUGGAAUUCCUGGUGUAGCGGUGAAAUGCGCAGAUAUCAGGGGGAACACCGGUGGCGAAGGCGGUGGUCUGGGCCGGCACUGACGCUGAGGAGCGAAAGCGUGGGGAGCGAACAGGAUUAGAUACCUGGUAGUC